ACUUGUAUGUUUCACUUCAGUUAAUUAAACUUUUGUUUUGUGUAAGUAGUUUUGAAGAAAGCUACUUUAUACAAAUUAUAAUUUGUACAAAGCAACAGUGUAGUACUGUACUUUAUUUUAAGUAAUACUUCCAGAUACUUUCUCCAUCACUGUCUAAAGUGGACCUGAAUUGAGCUGGACCUGAUGUGAACUAGACUAAAGUGGGCUGGACGUGCAAGUGAAUGAGAUCUGAAGUUAACUGGACCUAAAGGACUAGAUGGUUGGAGGAAGGCAUAAGGUCGAGCAUGACCCAACACACACACAACCAUUGCUGGUGUUGGCUGGGCAGAAGCCGUCACUUGUGCACCAAGAUGUCUUCACGUUUUAGCUCUGGUCUAUAGUCUCAAAUGAGGAGACGUCUGGUCCUGCAGCAACACAGCACAGCACCUUAUAUCACGGCUCCUGUACAGAAGAAAACUUAUCUACUGAUUCUUGGCAGAUUAUGUUACCAUUUGAGGUGAACUGAAGCCUUGAUGUAAUAGUGAUUGAAGACUACAGUACAGGAGGAGAGAGUGUUAUCUGGCAUUGGUAUUAAAAUAGUUAGCAACUGUGUGUUAGUAACUUACAGGGUUCAGUUUAACACAGAUAGGCUCAUCAUAUAUUUUAAUAAAGUACAGGUAUCCCCCAAGAUACUUACAGUAUGUCCAAUAAAUGAACAAUCAUUAUUACAAAAAUAUCAGUUUGACUUAACAAAUUCCCCUCAGUCACACGGUCAGUAUAGCCCAGUGGUGCAUUGGCACUAUUGCAGAAUGUAUUUAUUAUUUUACAAGAAUUAUAUUGGUGAAAAACCCACCAGUUGACUGAUUUUUCCCUCCCAGAACAUAAUACAAGAGUUCUACCAUUCAAUAUGUUUUUUAACUUAGAACCCUUAGUGCUAUACAGUAUGUUAGAGGAUACCUGUACAUGUAAAUUAAUGUACAGUACUGUAGGUUCACCUGUUGGGGAAGUGAAGGCAGUGUUAAUCACAAGGUUCAGUAUACAGUACACUGCUCUUAAUGGACCAUCAUGCUAGACUGAAGUUUUAUACAAGUGAAGGAAGGAUUUGUAUUACUUAAUCUGCACUGGAUUUCUUUCUUUCUUUCGUUUCUUCCACAUCCUAGGUUAGGUUUUAUUUCAUCAGAGCCAACCAUAAAGAGAGUCAUCUAUUAACUGCAGCUGACCCCACCAUAGUUUCAUCUAUCAACUGCAGCUGACCCCAACAUGAAGGACAUUUCAUCU